rnacentral:rRNA from 1 species
AUUGAACGCUGGCGGCAUGCCUAACACAUGCAAGUCGAACGAGUGGCGGACGGGUGAGUAAUGUCUGGGAAACUGCCUGAUGGAGGGGGAUAACUACUGGAAACGGUAGCUAAUACCGCAUAACAUCAGAUGUGCCCAGAUGGGAUUAGCUUGUUUGGGGGGUAACCCCUCACCAAGGCGACGAUCCCUAGCUGGUCUGAGAGGAUGACAAGCCACACUGGAACUGAGACACGGGCCAGACUCCUACGGGAGGCAGCAGGGGGUAAUAUUGCACAAGGGGCGAAAGCCUGAUGCAGCCAUGCCGCGUGUAUGAAGAAGGCCUGCGGGUUGUAAAGUACUUUCAGCGGGGAGGCGUUACCAGCAGAAGAAGCACCGGCUAACUCCGUGCCAGCAGCCGCGGUAAUA